CUCUUCUGAUCUCUGCUUCUUCCUGUCACAGGGAGGCUCCUGGAGGGUUUUGAUGAUCAGGGCAGAGGCAGAAGGGACAACCUCGAUCUGAGCUUGCCUGUUCUGGAGAGUGAGUUUCACUGUGAUCCUCAGUCCCUUCCAGUCACCUGUUGACUUGGCGAUGUCAUCAGCAACCUUUGUGGGAGA